CAGCGUCACGAGUGGCAAUCAGCAUUAUUGGGUCUAAAGCGUCCGUAGCCGGUUUGAUAAGUCUUUUGUGAAAUUGAUGUGCCUAACAUAUCAACGUGCAAAAGAUACUGUCAGACUUGGAACUGGGAGGGGUUAGAGGUAUUCCUUGGGGAGCGGUAAAAUGCUAUAAUCCUUGGAAGACCACCUGUGGCGAAAGCGUCUAACCAGAACAGCUUCGACGGUGAGGGACGAAAGCUAGGGGAGCAAACCGGAUUAGAUACCCGAGUAGUCC
rnacentral:rRNA from 1 species